UCCCUCAUAGUUCAGUUGGUAAAGAAUCUGCCUGCAAUGCAGGGGACCCAGGUUCGAUUCCUGGGUUGGGAU
rnacentral:tRNA from 1 species